UUUGCUUCUUUAGCCUUUUGGCUAAGAUCAAGUGUAGUAUCUGUUCUUACCAAAUUUUGCUUCUUUAGUCAUUCACGGUGAUUAUGUUUUCUGAGAUAAAUACGGGUACAUAUGGACCAGUU
rnacentral:snRNA from 1 species